rnacentral:rRNA from 1 species
GGAAUUUUGGACAAUGGGCGAAAGCCUGAUCCAGCAAUGCCGCGUGCAGGAUGAAGGCCUUCGGGUUGUAAACUGCUUUUGUACGGAACGAAACGGUCUUUUCUAAUACAGAAGGCUAAUGACGGUACCGUAAGAAUAAGCACCGGCUAACUACGUGCCAGCAGCCGCGGUAAUACGUAGGGUGCAAGCGUUAAUCGGAAUUACUGGGCGUAAAGCGUGCGCAGGCGGUUAUGUAAGACAGUUGUGAAAUCCCCGGGCUCAACCUGGGAAUUGCAUCUGUGACUGCAUAGCUAGAGUACGGUAGAGGGGGAUGGAAUUCCGCGUGUAGCAGUGAAAUGCGUAGAUAUGCGGAGGAACACCGAUGGCGAAGGCAAUCCCCUGGACCUGUACUGACGCUCAUGCACGAAAGCGUGGGGAGCAAACAGGAUUAGAUACCCGGG